UCAGCAGGCACUGAACUGCUUUCCUGAGGAAGCCUUGCUCUGUGUCCAUCUUUCCUAUGUUUUCUCUCUUUUCUCCAUGGCACAGCAUACGAGCACUGGCUCAUCUGACAAAACCCAGAAGGAGUUUAACAUAUAGACACUGUUUUCUGGUCAAAAUGAAGACGCUGGGGUCAAAACCAGAGGUGGUCUCAGCUCCUCAGAAAGUUCCUUGUAAUCUCUCUCAAGUGUCAACCAGUCUUGACCUGAUUGGGCUUCUAAGAUCAUGUGAGAUCAGGGUUUAUUUUUUCAGAUUUUUGAUGAACUAUGACCUUUGUGGAAGAUUUACUGGGACCUGCCAGGGCUUGGAGAGAUGAGGAGUUGAGAGAAGAUACACAGUUGAAGAGAGACAUCAACAUCAGCAGUUUGGUUAAAGGCCAGCCCAAGUGACUUACCACACAGAAAUUUCAAGUUCUGCUGAUGUAUGCUAGUUGAAUCCAUGUGAUGAGAGGCAGGUUCUCCUUCAACAGAUUAUAUAUUCCUGAAUUUGGAAGAUGACAGAAGAAAAUCAAGAUCACUUGAAGAGGACUAAUGAUACCAGCAGCACCUCUGAGUUGACACUAAGUGGGUGGCAGAGGAGGAAACACCCUUGCAACUUCAAUAUUUUCAAGUCGGUAAAAUGGAGACGAGGAGACGUAUUUUUAGCAUGGAGCCUGUUGACAGCCACUGAUUUAAAAAUAAGUGCAGACUCCAAAGCCCACCGGAUGCCUGGGUGUCUUCUGUGCCUCCCUCUCUCCCAGGCUGUCCCUCCCAUCUCUGCCCACAAGCUGACCCAGCAGGGCACUCACCUCACUAAUUUCAUAGCAAGAAUUCUUCUUUUGGACCUUGGAGGAGCUUCUCCCAUUUGCUUUUAUAACAGAUCACUCAACAUGCAAGUCCUGCCUUAGCACCUUCGUCUUAUAGUUGGAUACCACAUUCAACUUAUUUGGUUGCAUUUGUUGCAGUAGGUCUGAAUGUUGACUUCACAUUUGAAACACUUGGUAUAUUAAAAAAAAUGGAUGGCUCAGUCCUGUCCAGACAUCAACUUCUCUGGUGUAGGCCUCAGUGAUAUGGGGCAUAGUCAGGAUGGAGAUGGAUGGUCUCACCCUCUCUCCUAUCCUAGUUGAU